UGUGUUGGUAAGUUGUGUUCACCCUUCCCAGUGUGGAUGAAGAGCUUGUGACUGUGUGUCUGUUCUCUCUCAGGGUGACCCUGGACUUCCUGGUCCCCCUGGUCCAUGUACGGAAGUAGAAGGCCUUAAAGGAGACCAGGGUCUGGCUGGAGCAUCAGGAGAGAAGGGAGCAGCUGGAGAAGCAGGCCUGCAGGGUUCUCUAGGGAAGGAGGGCAAGAGGG